rnacentral:rRNA from 1 species
UACGUAGGGGGCAAGCGUUGUCCGGAAUCAUUGGGCGUAAAGAGCGUGUAGGCGGCUCGGUAAGUCCGCUCUGAAAGCCCGGGGCUCAACCCCGGGAGGCGGGCGGAUACUGUCGGGCUAGAGUCCGGAAGAGGCGAGUGGAAUUCCUGGUGUAGCGGUGAAAUGCGCAGAUAUCAGGAGGAACACCAGUGGCGAAGGCGGUGCUCUGGGCCGGAACUGACGCUGAGGAGCGAAAGCGUGGGGAGCAAACAGG